rnacentral:rRNA from 1 species
AGCGAACGCUGGCGGCAGGCUUAACACAUGCCAGUCGAGCGGGCCCUUCGGGGUCAGCGGCGGACGGGUGAGUAACGCGUGGGAACGUGCCUUCUGGUCUGGAAUAACCCUGGGAAACUAGGGCUAAUACCGGAUACGCCCUUUUGGGGAAAGGUUUACUGCCGGAAGAUCGGCCCGCGUCUGAUUAGCUAGUUGGUGGGGUAACGGCUUACCAAGGCGACGAUCAGUAGCUGGUCUGAGAGGAUGAUCAGCCACACUGGGACUGAGACACGGCCCAGACUCCUACGGGAGGCAGCAGUGGGGAAUAUUGGACAAUGGGCGCAAGCCUGAUCCAGCCAUGCCGCGUGAGUGAUGAAGGCCUUAGGGUUGUAAAGCUCUUUUAUCCGGGACGAUAAUGACGGUACCGGAGGAAUAAGCCCCGGCUAACUUCGUG